ACCUUAGAAGCUAAAGAAGAAGUCAGUUAGGCCGACACCAACACGGAAAGCAAAUGUGAUAUUUCUUCAUCCUCGAAAACGUUCAACAAAACUUAACAAGAAAAAUGAAAGUCGUACAGCUUGGGAACAAAACGAGGCAGGGGGCGAUGUUUUACACGCACACCAGACGCUCCACUCAUCACGGCAUCACAGCGCUCUCCUUCCAGCUUUAAGUGAGACUCGAC